GACGAACGCUGGCGGCGUGCCUAAUACAUGCAAGUAGGACGCAGAUGCGAACGGGUGAGUAACGCGUAGGUAACUGCCCAGUAGAGGGGGAUAACAAUCGGAAACGAUAGCUAAUACCGCAUACUAGUAGAUGGACCUGCGUUGUUUUAGCUAGUAGGUUGGGUAAUGGCUUACCUAGGCAACGAUACAUAGCCGACCUGAGAGGGUGAUCGGCCACACUGGGGCUGAGGCACGGCCCAGACUCCUACGGGAGGCAGCAGUAGGGAAUCUUCGGCAAUGGGGGGAACCCUGACCGAGCAACGCCGCGUGAGUGAAGAAGGUUUUCGGGUCGUAAAGCUCUGUUGUUAAGGAAGCGGUACUUAACCAGAAAGGGACGGCUAACUACGUGCCAGCAGCCGCGGUAAUAC
rnacentral:rRNA from 1 species